CCCCCACCACCUGCUCAUUCUUUAAUGAGCCACGUUCACCCUUCCUCAUCGCCACUCACUAACCCACCGCCAACCCCUCUCCCCAUAUACGCACCACACACAAACUGAAUGAUACUCAUAAAGGAAUUAAAAAGGGGGGGGGGGGGGUGCGGACAAGAGAGAGCAACAGAGACCGGGAAAAGAGGCGAUGAGAGGAGGGGCGACACCAGCUGGGGUCCUUAACCGCCAUUGCCGUCGUCAUCAAGAGCGUCAGAGGAGAGAGGGAGUUUGCGGGGGAGAACCAGAGGAGCGAGAAUGAGCCAAAGAAGAAACACGUCAUUGAUGUGCAAAGCCCACGAUCGCCGUCGAGCUCGCCGUUCCGUCGUGGAGCCGUGACGCCGUUGUGGUUCAUGAUCGCUGCUGCCGUCCCAAGCCGCCGCCAGAAGAAGGUUAUUACUGCCAUCAGUCCCGCGUUGAUGAGGGAAAUGCAAACCAGAGAACAGAAGGGAAGCUUUGCCGUCGUUGAGCCACAUCGCCGCCGUUGGAGGAGCCAUCGCCGCCGAACCCUAGCCAUCACUGCCGCUACUGCCAGCGAGAAGAAGAAGGGGAUGAUGCCGCUGCUGUCCUAUCCCCCUUCCAAUUAGGUUCAACAUCGAUUGCUUUGAGCCAUUUCUGUUUUCAAUUCCAUUGGAUUUAAAUUCCCCAUUUCGCUGCAAACCUGAUCACUGUUGUGGGAGAUAAUGUUGUGGCUGUUCCGGUUGUGUUGGGUGCAAUGUCGCUGCUAUCUUGACUAAAAUUGUUGCAUGGCUAGUAGUGGUCCAGUCAGCUGUCUCACCGUAAUCCUGCUUUCGAUUUCUUUUAAUAGCGACAUCGAGGUGGUAAUGAUCCUCAUGAUGAUAAUAUUGUAUUGACGAAACUUUUUCAUCCUAAUCUCAAACUUCUAAUUGUUACUAAAGGCUCCUCUGGUUGUAGAUAUUACACCAAGGAAUUCAGGGACAAAGUUGGAGGUGUUAAAGUCAAACCUAUUGACACAACUGGUGCCAGUGAUGCAUUUUCGAACUGUAAUUUUGGCUAUUUCUCCAGCUAAUCAAGAUCUUGCAACAUCUGAUGCAAUUAAAAUAUCCCGCGAAGUGGAUCCUACUGGGGAUAGGACAAUUGGAAUUUUGACAAAGAUAGAUCUUAUGGCUAAGGGUAUUGAUGCAUGGCGACUUGAAGCAAUAUUCGGUCUCCGAGUUGAGGUUGGGAGUGCAUCUGUUGAUUCAUUAAAGAGAAUGAGGGAGGAAAGCAAAAAAACAUACCAAUUUUUAAUAUGGAAGGUGGUUAUUUGAUAGUAAAUUUCUUUUGGAAGCUUCCUCAAGAUGUUGACAAGGGUGGCAAUCCUAUCCACUCAAUUUUUAAUAGAUAUAAUGAUCCAUAUCUAAGGAGAAUUGAAUUGGAACAACAAUUUUAUUUUAUGUCAAUAUGGUGUGUGCAAGCUUGCAGGAAGCAAAAUGAAGCCUACUUAAUCACUUUUUUACCGAGCUAGACAAAAUGGAUCAAAAACAGUUGUCAUCGUUGCUAAAUGAGGAUCCUGCUAUCAUAGAAGACGUGGUGUACUUGAAAGAGGCUCGAGUUAUAUCGGAGUGUACAAACUAAAUAGAGCAGAGUUAUAUUGUUCAUGAAUUAUUUUUACCAUAUUUUAGUGUAGACAUAAAUUUGAUACAUUUAGGAAUUUUUAAUAUUUUAAAUUUUUUAUUUCUAUGUAGACAUUGUGAAUAUUUUUUAUAUUUAUUUGAAAAAUUGAGCUA